rnacentral:rRNA from 1 species
CGACGAGGCAGCAAUGCCGAGUGGCGGACGGGUGAGCAACGCGUAGGAAUCUGCCCACGGGUGGGGGACAACCCGGCGAAAGCCGGGCUAAUACCGCAUAAGUUCUAAGGAAGAAAGCGGGGGACCUUCGGGCCUCGCGCCGGUGGAGGAGCCUGCGUGGGAUUAGCUAGUUGGCGGGGUAAGGGCCCACCAAGGCGACGAUCCCUAGCCGGCCUGAGAGGGUGGCCGGCCACACCGGGACUGAGACACGGCCCGGACUCCUACGGGAGGCAGCAGUGGGGAAUAUUGGACAAUGGGCGCAAGCCUGAUCCAGCAAUGCCGCGUGUGUGAAGAAGGCCUGCGGGUUGUAAAGCACUUUGAGCGGGAAAGAAGGCUUCAAAGCGAAUACCUUUGGAGAUUGACGUUACCCGCAGAACAAGCACCGGCUAACUCCGUGCCAGCAGCCGCGGUAAUACGGAGGGUGCGAGCGUUAAUCGGAAUUACUGGGCGUAAAGCGCGCGUAGGCGGCCUUCCAAGUCCGACGUGAAAUCCCCGGGCUUAACCUGGGAACUGCAUUUGUGACUGCAAGGCUAGAGUAUGGCAGAGGGGGGUAGAAUUCCACGUGUAGCAGUGAAAUGCGUAGAUAUGUGGAGGAAUACCGAUGGCGAAGGCAGCCCCCUGGGUCAAUACUGACGCUCAUGCACGAAAGCGUGGGGAGCAAACAGGAUUAGAUACCCUGGUAGUCCACGCCCUAAA